GGGGGGUGGGGUCUAUCCCACAGUGCUGUCAGCAACUGGAAAAUAUUUCAUAGCAAGUUGCUAGUUUUGAUUAGUAGUGAUAUAUAAAUUCGUAUAACGUUUAUACGACAAUAAUCUGAUGCAUAAAUAUGGCACAUGUAUUGGUAAUUAGAUGUACAAAAUAUGAAAAUAGAUUAUUCACAUGCACGAAUUUACAGACCCAUUUAUGUGCAACAUGCUGCACUGCUGUGUUUAAUAAGUAUAUCAUCAUAGAAAAACACGUAUGCGGUGGCAAUCAGCGCUGAAUUGUGGGUCAACCGCGCCGCCAUAUUGGAAAGGUCAGGCGUGUCCUAUAAACACGUACAAGUGAACGGGUAACUGCGGGUUUUCUGUAGAAAAACACAAUAAUAACUAGUGGUGGGCCGUUAACGGCGUUGUGAGACUAUUAUCGCGCGUUAAAAAAAAUGUCGCCGUUAAUCUAUUCUCAAAGUUGGGUUGGCAGUUGGGUCUAUACUACGCAAGCUAUGAUGACUUUCACCUUGAUAUUUUAGCGCAGAUGUAUACCAGCUUAACUGCACUGUACGGGGCGAGAACGAGAUUUUUCAACUCGCGUGAUUCGCGUCAUUCGCGGAAGCAGAAGCCGCCUCAUCAUCUCAUGACCAGGGCUUCAUUCGCGCGAUUCGCGCAGCAAUGUGUGAAAUCCCUGGGAUCAAACCCAUGACCUUGGUGUUGCUAGCGUCGUGCUCCAACCACUGAGACACAGGAAAGCUAUAGAUGUUUAUUAUGAUGAUUAUACAGGGCUGCCCACACAGCUGAUGCCCUCUGCAGAAAGUGCAGGCCUCUCCAUUUGAGGAACCCCAGCCUCCAGCAGCCGUUCUCUGAUGAGCUGGGACGCUGUCGUCCAUGAGGAUGAAAACAGGCCUGUGUUGCUCGUGCACAGGCACAAUGACUGGAUUGAUGAUGUCAUUCAGGAAGUAUUGGCUUGUCCCAGUAUCAUUCACAAGACACACCUGCCCAGACUGAAAUGCAUCACCUCCAAAGGCUUCUGAGCCUUCUAUGCAAUAAGUACUGAAACACUGACCAGUGGACAUGGCCAUUAGAGAAGGUCAAAUUAAGUUCACCUGUAAAGAUUACAGUAAAUUUAAGGUGCAUUAGGCACAUGCCUAACUUUUAUGUAUGUUAAUUAGGGACACUAUGCACAUUGAGAAUUGUAAAUAUAACAACAUACAUGUACACCCUUUUAAUGAACACUUGUAUUUAUUGCCUGAAGCUCAGCUUGCAUUAACUUCUGUCCCAAAUAACAACAACCGGACAACAGGUGUGAUGGACUGCGCAGAUGGAUCGUUGUAUGACAUCAAAGCCCUGCAGUGAGAGCGAUCAGAUCUCACCUCUUCCUCUGUCCCCCAGCGCCCCCAUGAGUGGGCAUUCCUGACGUCUGCUGCCAUCUCCAUUACUAAAUGAAACGCCCAAUUAAUUCAUUCCAUAACCUGUUUCCUCAAAAAUAUGACAAGUUCACCUGGAUUACAACAUAAUCACAAGAUUUAUUUGAAGGUUCCUCGUGACCUCUGAAGUUUGGAAAGCUCUUAGCAAGAAGCAUCUUAAUCUCUUUUUGGCUGAGAGGGAAAUCUACGCUUUAAAUUCUGCCCUUUAUACAGUGAGUGUGUU